CAAAGAACUUUGAAGAGAGAGUUCAAGAGGGCGUGAAACCGCUAAGAAGCAAACGGAUGGAGUGGACGUUAGUCUUUGGGAUUCAGCCCAGGGGCGGCGUGCCCUUUCGACCACGGAUUGCAAGACCGAGGUUGGAAGUAGGUACGCUGUUCCGGGUGCAUUUCCCAGGGAUCGCAUCAGAGGCAGUGGGGACGUCGUGUUGACCUCGAGUCGGUGGCCUACUACUUCGGUAGCGGGUGUCUUACUCGGGAGUUGAUGCGGUCGACCCUACUGUGAUGGAAAGAGUGCCCGCCUCUAGCUCGGUAGUGUUGGCAGCGGUGCUGCUGGAUCGGACACCCAGUCUCUGGAUCCGGACCGGUGGUGCUGUUGUUCGGCAGGACCCGAGCGGUGCUCGGCUCUGAUGUUUUGUCCAUUACCCAUCCGACCCGUCUUGAAACACGGACCAAGGAGUCUAACAUGGGCGCGAGUCAUUGGGUUGCUAAACCUAAAGGCGAAAUGAAAGUAAAGGUCAACUUUGUUGGCUGAUAUGGGAUGCGUGGCUUCGGCUGCGUCGCACCAUAGCCCCGUCUUAGUGGCAUCGUCCACGAGGCGGAGGUAGAGCGUGCAUGUUGGGACCCGAAAGAUGAUGAACUUCACGCGGACAGGUUGAAGCCAGAGGAAACUCUGGUGGAAGACCAAAGAGGUUCUGACGUGCAAAUCGAUCUCAGAUCUAC
rnacentral:rRNA from 1 species